UACGAAGGGGGCUAGCGUUGCUCGGAAUCACUGGGCGUAAAGCGCACGUAGGCGGAUUGUUAAGUCAGGGGUGAAAUCCUGGAGCUCAACUCCAGAACUGCCUUUGAUACUGGCGAUCUCGAGUCCGGAGAGGUGAGUGGAACUGCGAGUGUAGAGGUGAAAUUCGUAGAUAUCGCAAGAACACCAGUGGCGAAGGCGGCUCACUGGCCCGGUACUGACGCUGAGGUGCGAAAGCGUGGGAGCAAACAGG
rnacentral:rRNA from 1 species